UGGCGGCGUGCCUAACACAUGCAAGUCGAACGCGAAAGCCCCGCAAGGGGCAAGUAGAGUGGCAAACGGGUGAGUAACACGUGGGUGACCUGCCUUCGAGUGGGGGAUAACGUCCCGAAAGGGACGCUAAUACCGCAUGACAUCCUGUCCUUAGACGGACGGAGAUCAAAGCUGGGGAUCGCAAGACCUGGCGCUUGAAGAGGGGCCCGCGCCUGAUUAGCUAGUUGGUGAGGUAACGGCUCACCAAGGCUACGAUCAGUAUCCGGCCUGAGAGGGCGGACGGACACACUGGGACUGAGACACGGCCCAGACUCCUACGGGAGGCAGCAGUGGGGAAUUGUUCGCAAUGGGCGCAAGCCUGACGACGCAACGCCGCGUGGAGGAUGAAGAUCUUCGGGUCGUAAACUCCUGUCGAAUGGGAAGAACGUUUCGCGGAUGAAUAAGCCGCGGAAGUGACGGUACCAUUAAAGGAAGCCCCGGCUAACUCCGUGCCAGCAGCCGCGGUAAUACGGAGGGAGCUAGCGUUGUUCGGAAUUACUGGGCGUAAAGCGCGCGUAGGCGGCUUUGUAAGUUAGAGGUGAAAGCCCGGGGCUCAACCCCGGAACUGCCUUUAAGACUGCAUCGCUUGAAUCCGGGAGAGGUGAGUGGAAUUCCGAGUGUAGAGGUGAAAUUCGUAGAUAUUCGGAAGAACACCAGUGGCGAAGGCGGCUCACUGGACCGGUAUUGACGCUGAGGUGCGAAAGCG
rnacentral:rRNA from 1 species